GUUUAACUACUAUUUUGUGAUGUUCUGUGUUAGCCGUAGCACAUAUGCUACAUAUUCCACGUGCUAGAAUUAUGUGUUUUGCUGUUUAUGAGUAUUUAUUCUGUUCUGUCGUUCCUUUUCUUAAAAAAGUGUUGAUUAUUGGUCACAUAGGCUUACUGUUUAUUUUCACUAACGGUUACUGUAUUGAAAUAGUGAUUUGGAUGAGAGAUGAAUAGAGGCAGUUUUAUGUAAUUUUCAUGUAUGUUUUAUUUACAUUAAUAACCACUAUACAUCACAAUGUAUAAGUUUAGACAAAAUGUAAUGUACCAGCAGUUCUGAGAAGCCUCUCUGCUGACACUGAUAUCACCAGAGCUGCAAACCAACUAAAUCUUUGGUGCUGUGUUUGUCCCAGGACAAUAAAGGAAGUUUAAGUGACCACA